rnacentral:rRNA from 1 species
GUUGAUAAGGUUAAGUGAAUAAGGGCGCACGGUGGAUGCCUUGGCACUAGGAGCCGAUGAAGGACGGGACUAACACCGAUAUGCUUUGGGGAGCUGUAAGUAAGCUAUGAUCCAGAGAUUUCCGAAUGGGGGAACCCAAUAUCUUUUAUAGGAUAUUACUUUUCAGUGAAUACAUAGCUGAUUAGAGGUAGACGCAGAGAACUGAAACAUCUUAGUACCUGCAGGAAGAGAAAGAAAAUUCGAUUCCCUGAGUAGCGGCGAGCGAAACGGGAAGAGCCCAAACCAACAAGCUUGCUUGUUGGGGUUGUAGGACUCCAAUAUGGUAGUCUGUUAGUAUAGUUGAAGGAUUUGGAAAAUUCCGCUAAAGAGGGUGAAAGCCCCGUAGACGAAAUGCUGACAACACCUAGGAGGAUCCUGAGUACGGCGGAACACGAGAAAUUCCGUCGGAAUCCGCGGGGACCAUCCCGCAAGGCUAAAUACUCCCUAGUGACCGAUAGUGAACCAGUACCGUGAGGGAAAGGUGAAAAGCACCCCGGAAGGGGAGUGAAAUAGAUCCUGAAACCGUGUGCCUACAACAAGUCAAAGCUCGUUAAUGAGUGAUGGCGUGCCUUUUGUAGAAUGAACCGGCGAGUUACGAUUGCAUGCGAGGUUAAGUCGAAGAGACGGAGCCGCAGCGAAAGCGAGUCUGAAUAGGGCGAAUGAGUAUGUAGUCGUAGACCCGAAACCAUGUGAUCUACCCAUGUCCAGGUUGAAGGUGCGGUAAAACGCACUGGAGGACCGAACCCACGUACGUUGAAAAGUGCGGGGAUGAGGUGUGGGUAGCGGAGAAAUUCCAAACGAACUUGGAGAUAGCUGGUUCUCUCCGAAAUAGCUUUAGGGCUAGCCUCGGAAUUGAGAAUGAUGGAGGUAGAGCACUGUUUGGACUAGGGGCCCAUCUCGGGUUACCGAAUUCAGAUAAACUCCGAAUGCCAUUCAUUUAUAUCCGGGAGUCAGACUGCGAGUGAUAAGAUCCGUAGUCGAAAGGGAAACAGCCCAGACCACCAGCUAAGGUCCCAAAAUAUAUGUUAAGUGGAAAAGGAUGUGGGGUUGCACAGACAACUAGGAUGUUGGCUUAGAAGCAGCCACCAUUUAAAGAGUGCGUAAUAG